GAGCGUCGCUGUGGAGGGUCUAUAUACUGCUGCAUCUACCGAGCGUCGCUGUGUGUACUGCUGCAUCUACCGAGCCGUCGCUGUGUGUACUGCUGCAUCUACCGAGCGUCGCUGUGGAGGGUCUGUAUACUGCUGCAUCUACCGAGCGUCGCUGUGUGUACUGCUGCAUCUACCGAGCCGUCGCUGUGUGUACUGCUGCAUCUACCGAGCGUCGCUGUGGAGGGUCUGUAUACUGCUGCAUCUACCGAGCGUCGCUGUGUGUACUGCUGCAUCUACCGAGCCGUCGCUGUGUGUACUGCUGCAUCUACCGAGCGUCGC